rnacentral:lncRNA from 1 species
UCCAUUUUACAAUCGAGUGCUAGUGUGUAAGUUGUAUUAUCGUUUUGUAGCUGUAGUUUGUAACAGUGUUAUGCGAACUGUGAGUGUUACUUGAUGUCCUAUUUGAUACGAGUUAAUAAAGCAUGUCAUGCAAAUUUAAGGGACAUGGAUUCUCUAGCUUUAGGGAGGGAAAGUGACCUACCUUUUUAUUUAUCUCUCAUCUUUUAUUUUCUCUUUUAUAUUUUUCCUCCACAUUUUUCAACAUUCUAUCUCCUUGUUUAGGCCUAAAGCCACCAAAAGAUGGUCAAUUGUAGAGAAUCUAAUUCCAAAUUUAUGGAGGUUGAAGGUCUAU